UACGUAGGGUGCGAGCGUUAAUCGGAAUUACUGGGCGUAAAGCGUGCGCAGGCGGUUGUGCAAGACAGAUGUGAAAUCCCCGGGCUCAACCCGGGAACUGCGUCCGAUACUGGCAGGCUCGAAUCCGGGAGAGGGAUGCGGAAUUCCAGGUGUAGCGGUGAAAUGCGUAGAUAUCUGGAGGAACACCGGUGGCGAAGGCGGCAUCCUGGACCGGCAUUGACGCUGAGGCGCGAAAGCCAGGGGAGCAAACGGG
rnacentral:rRNA from 1 species